UUUUGUGACUGAGUGGCGGACGGGUGAGUAACGCGUGGGUAACCUGCCUCAUACAGGGGGAUAACAGUUGGAAACGACUGCUAAUACCGCAUAAGCGCACAGGGUCGCAUGACCUGGUGUGAAAAACUCCGGUGGUAUGAGAUGGACCCGCGUCUGAUUAGCCAGUUGGUGGGGUAACGGCCUACCAAAGCGACGAUCAGUAGCCGACCUGAGAGGGUGACCGGCCACAUUGGGACUGAGACACGGCCCAAACUCCUACGGGAGGCAGCAGUGGGGAAUAUUGCACAAUGGGGGAAACCCUGAUGCAGCGACGCCGCGUGAGCGAAGAAGUAUUUCGGUAUGUAAAGCUCUAUCAGCAGGGAAGAAGAAAUGACGGUACCUGACUAAGAAGCACCGGCUAAAUACGUGCCAGCAGCCGCGGUAAUACGUAUGGUGCAAGCGUUAUCCGGAUUUACUGGGUGUAAAGGGAGCGCAGGCGGGAAGACAAGUUGGAAGUGAAAUCCAUGGGCUCAACCCAUGAACUGCUUUCAAAACUGUUUUUCUUGAGUAGUGCAGAGGUAGGCGGAAUUCCCGGUGUAGCGGUGGAAUGCGUAGAUAUCGAGAGGAACACUCGUGGCGAAGGCGGGUUCCUGGACAUUAACUGACGCUGAGGCUCGAAAGUGUGGGUAGCAAACAGGAUUAGAUACCCUGGUAGUCCACACUGUAAACGAUGAUUACUAGGUGUUGGAGGAUUGACCCCUUCAGUGCCGCAGUUAACACAAUAAGUAAUCCACCUGGGGAGUACGACCGCAAGGUUGAAACUCAAAGGAAUUGACGGGGGCCCGCACAAGCAGUGGAGUAUGUGGUUUAAUUCGACGCAACGCGAAGAACCUUACCAAGUCUUGACAUCCUGCGACGGACAUAGAAAUAUGUUUUUCCUUCGGGACGCAGAGACAGGUGGUGCAUGGUUGUCGUCAGCUCGUGUCGUGAGAUGUUGGGUUAAGUCCCGCAACGAGCGCAACCCUUACUGUCAGUUACUACGCAAGAGGACUCUGGCCAGACUGCCGUUGACAAAACGGAGGAAGGUGGGGAUGACGUCAAAUCAUCAUGCCCUUUAUGACUUGGGCUACACACGUACUACAAUGGCGUUAAACAAAGAGAAGCAAGACCGCGAGGUGGAGCAAAACUCAAAAACAACGUCUCAGUUCAGAUUGCAGGCUGCAACUCGCCUGCAUGAAGUCGGAAUUGCUAGUAAUCGCGGAUCAGCAUGCCGCGGUGAAUACGUUCCCGGGCCUUGUACUCACCGCCCGUCA
rnacentral:rRNA from 1 species